UACGUAGGUGGCAAGCGUUGUCCGGAUUUACUGGGCGUAAAGAGCGCGCAGGCGGCCGAGUAAGUCGAAUGUGAAAGCCCCCGGCUCAACUGGGGAAGGUCAUUUCGAUACUGUUCGGCUUGAAGAUAGGAGAGGGAAGCGGAAUUUCAGGUGUAGUGGUGAAAUGCGUAGAUAUCUGAAGGAACACCAGUGGCGAAGGCGCUUUCUGGCCUAUUCUUGACGCUGAGGCGCGAAAGCUAGGGGACGAACAGG
rnacentral:rRNA from 1 species